CAGCCGCCGCGGGAAUACAGAGGAUGCAAGCGUUAUCCGGAAUAACUGGGCGUAAAGGGUGCGCAGGUGGUUUAACAAGUUAGUGGUGAAAGGCAUAGGCUCAACCAAUGUAAGCCAUUAAAACUGUUUAACUUGAGUGCAGGAGAGGAAAGUGGAAUUCCUAGUGUAGCGGUGAAAUGCGUAGAGAUUAGGAGGAACACCAGUGGCGAAGGCGGCUUUUUGGCCUGUAACUGACACUGAGGCGCGAAAGCGUGGGGAGCAAACAGGAUUAGAUACCCGUGUAGUCCCUGUCUCUUAUACC
rnacentral:rRNA from 1 species